GCCUAGCCUCGAUCGCAGCGGCAUCCUUUUUUACAAAAAAACCUAGUAGUGGGUUACUACUAGGUUUUUUUUGUAAAAAAGAUAGAGCGGAGAGCGGGACGACUC
rnacentral:sRNA from 1 species